GGAAACGACUGCUAAUACCGCAUACGACCUACGAUUGGCAUCAAUCGUAGGUGAAAGGUGGCCUCUACAUGUAAGCUAUCGUUGUAGGGAGGGGGAUUGCGUCUGAUUAGCUAGUUGGAGGGGGUAAACGGCCCACCAAGGGCGAUGAUCAGUAGCCGGUCUGAGAGGAUGAACGGCCACAUUGGGGACUGAGACACGGCCCAAACUCCUACGGGAGGCAGCAGUGGGGAAUCUUCCGCAAUGGACGAAAGUCUGACGGAGCAACGCCGCGUGAGUGAUGACGGUCUUCGGAUUGUAAAGCUCUGUUAAUCGGGACGAAUGGUUUGUGUGCAAAUAGUGCAUAGACAUGACGGUACCGGAAUAGAAAGCCACGGCUAACUACGUGCCAGCAGCCGCGGUAAAU
rnacentral:rRNA from 1 species